GGUCUAGUAGUAGAGUGGCUACCACGUGGGGUUGUGAACCGCAAGGUCAUCCGUUCGAUUCAGGCCGAGAGCA